rnacentral:rRNA from 1 species
UACGUAGGCAGCAAGCGUUGUUCGGAAUUAUUGGGCGUAAAGGGUGCGUAGGCGGCCUGACAAGUCUGAUGUGAAAUCCCUGGGCUCAACCCAGGGCCUGCAUCGGAAACUGUCGGGCUUGAGUAUGGGAGAGGUGAGUGGAAUUUCCGGUGUAGCGGUGAAAUGCGUAGAUAUCGGAAGGAACACCUGUGGCGAAAGCGGCUCACUGGACCAUUACUGACGCUGAGGCACGAAAGCUAGGGGAGCAAACAGG